AACGCUAGCUACAGGCUUAACACAUGCAAGUCGAGGGGUAACGAGAGGGAAGCUUGCUUUCCUUGUCGACGACCGGCGCACGGGUGAGUAACGCGUAUGCAACCUACCUAUCAGAGGGGGAUAACCCGGCGAAAGUCGGACUAAUACCGCAUAAAACAGGGGCACCGCAUGGUGAUAUUUGUUAAAAAUUUAUUGCUGAUAGAUGGGCAUGCGUUCCAUUAGGUAGUUGGAGAGGUAACGGCUCACCAAGCCUACGAUGGAUAGGGGAACUGAGAGGUUGGUCCCCCACACUGGUACUGAGACACGGACCAGACUCCUACGGGAGGCAGCAGUGAGGAAUAUUGGUCAAUGGGCGAGAGCCUGAACCAGCCAAGUCGCGUGAAGGAAGAAGGAUCUAUGGUUCGUAAACUUCUUUUGCAGGGGAAUAAAGUGCAGGACGUGUCCUGUUUUGUAUGUACCCUGAGAAUAAGGAUCGGCUAACUCCGUGCCAGCAGCCGCGGUAAUACGGAGGAUCCGAGCGUUAUCCGGAUUUAUUGGGUUUAAAGGGUGCGUAGGUGGUUUAAUAAGUCAGCGGUGAAAGUUUGCAGCUUAACUGUAAAAAUGCCGUUGAAACUGUUAGACUUGAGUGUAAAUGAGGUAGGCGGAAUGCGUGGUGUAGCGGUGAAAUGCUUAGAUAUCACGAAGAACUCCGAUUG
rnacentral:rRNA from 1 species